CCUACGGGUGGCAGCAGUGAGGAAUAUUGGUCAAUGGCCGGAAGGCUGAACCAGCCAAGUCGCGUGAGGGACGACUGCCCUAUGGGUUGUAAACCUCUUUUAUAAGGGGAGAAUAAAUUCUACGUGUAGCAUUAUGCCGGUACCUUAUGAAUAAGCAUCGGCUAACUCCGUGCCAGCAGCCGCGGUAAUACGGAGGAUGCGAGCGUUAUCCGGAUUUAUUGGGUUUAAAGGGUGCGUAGGCGGUUUGUUAAGUUAGCCGUGAAAUACCGGUGCUCAACACCGGAACUGCCUCUAAUACUGGUGAACUUGAGAGUAGGUGCGGUAGGCGGAAUGUAUGGUGUAGCGGUGAAAUGCUUAGAGAUCAUACAGAACCCCGAUUGCGAAGGCAGCUUACCAAACUAUAUCUGACGUUGAGGCACGAAAGCGUGGGUAGCAAACAGGAUUAGAUACCCCUGUAGUC
rnacentral:rRNA from 1 species